rnacentral:lncRNA from 1 species
AGAAACCCUGUCUUGAAAACAACAACAACAACAAACCCUGUCUUGAAAAAAACAACAAAAAAAACAAAUAAAAAAGAAUUUCAGUACAACCUAUAAGUUGCUAUGUUACAAUGCUGAAUAACUGUAUAGUGGGGUUUUUUGUUUGUUUUUAAGAUAUAUUUUUUAUUUUAUGUGUAUGGGAGUUCUGCCUACAUGCAUGUCUGUACCAUGUGCGUGUGAUGACCACAGAGAUCAGAAGAGGGUGUCAGAUGGUCUGAGCCUGGAGUUAGAAGCCUCCAUUUAUCGGUGCGGCAGCUCAGUCCCAUAGCCACAGCAUCCCAGAGGCUCAGGAAGGACGGUCACUACCUAUUUUGUCUGUUUCGUUUUGUUCUUAAAAAGAUGAAGGGUUCAGAACAAAGUCCCUUCUUACUCAUAAUCAUUACAUAAAGUAAAAAGACAGUCAUUUAUUUUUUAAUUUCAUCUUCAUGGGUUGGAAGUUUGUUCUACUAUCCUGAUACUCCUAGUAUAGGACCUUUUCUGUCCAGUCACCUCUAAAAUUAUCUUUAUUACAAUAAUGUAUAUUAUUUGGCUUGGAAUCUCUUUAAGUACACCCUUAAGAUGUAUUUUAAUUGUGUAUUGGGGCUUAUACUUGUAAUCUCAUUGCUUGAGAAGCAGAGGCAGGAGAAUUCUUUGUCUAGCGUAAGAUGCAUAGCAUGAGAUUUUAUCAGAAAAAUAGCAAGUAUUUUAGCCAGGCCUGGUAGUAAACAGAUGUGUACAAUCCUGGCAGUGCUGGCAUAGGGAGUUCUAGAAUUCUCGGCAAGCUUGUACUAGAGACCUUAUCUUGGGGAGGAAAAAUGCAAGAUGAGUUUACUUUAAUAUGUUGCAAGGUACUGAUUCUCAAAGAUUGUUUAUACAUGUUAGAAGUACAGAACCUGUUUUGAUAUAUGUUUUCAAAAGUGGAAUUUACCCCAAUAUUAGUAGUUAAUAGCCAAGUGACGUCGGAGAUGGACAGAAGGGAGCUGGAGAGCUUACUCCAAUGGCUGAAAGAGCUUGAUGCUAUUCUAGAGGACCCAAGUGUGACUACAGAACCUCCAGCAGAUAGCUUACAGCUGCCUAUAACUCCCAGCCCAAGGGAUCCAAAGCUCUCUUCUGGCUUUCAUUGGCACCUGAACACACAUGGCAUACUAUCACAUCACAUCACAUCACACACACACACACACACACACACACACACACACAUCCCUGAAUGCACACAAAUAAAGUUAAUAAAAAAGAGAAUGGUCAGAAGUUUGAGGUAGGGAGAGCUGCAGUUUCUUCCUACACGUUUGUAAUAAAGGAUUCAUCUCAUUCCAUAAAGUACAUGAAACUUUCAGAAGUCACUUGUGUAAUAAGGUUCACUGUACAUACUGGAAAGCAGUAAACAUAGCAGCCACUAAAGUUAACUGAAAGUUUUCUGAACCAGUGGUUCUCAGUCUCAAAGGCAAUGUGUAAUGAUUUAGAAAACUGAAAAAAGAAAUAAAACUGGAUUUGUUCAAGGAAGGCCAAGUGUGACCCUAGUAAUAGCUUUGUUUACCUCUGUUUUACAGUUUUAUUGCUGUGAACAGAGACCAUGACAUAAGGACAACAUUUAAUUGGGGCUGGCUUAAGGUUCAGAGGUUUAGUCCAUUAUCAUCAAGGCAGGAACAUGGCAGCAUCCAGGCAGCCAUGGUGUAGGAGGAGCUGAGAGUUCUGUAUCUUGUUCCAAAGGCAAACAGGAGAAGACUUAUUUCCAGUCAGCUAGGAUUAGGGUAAAAAGCCCAUGCCUACAGUGACACACCUACUCCAACAAGCCUACAUCUUCUCCAAAAGGGCCACACCUUUAAUAGUGCCACUUCCUGGGCCAAGCAUAUACAAACCAUCACAGCCUCUAAGGCAGUAAACCAAUUAAUUAUAUGUUACUUAUGAUGUAAUAGAGGAAGAAAACUACAGCUACUAGUUUAGAACAGUGCUUGUAUGUACAGGAAGAUUCAGGUUCUGGAUAUGACCCAUUCAUAGUUGCCAAGUGUUAGGAUUGUUGGCAUUGAGAAUGGACCACUUGCUAUUCUUUUACUUGAUAUAAAAACUGUCUUUUAAAACCUCACUAAAGUCUGCCACAGAUUCAGUCCCAAAUAAGAGUAUGGGUUCAUACAGAAAAGUCUCCGCUGAGUCCUGGGAGAGAAUGGGUUCAUGUCUGGCUUUUGAUGGAAGGAUUCUACUUCUUAGAACUUCUGGAAUGAGAAACUGAUUUCUUUCUGUGUUAACUAAUGAGUGCUUUUAAGCCUAGCUUUUCAAAACUGAAUUCUGGCAUCUUCUAAAGUCAAGCUUUACAUAUGAGACAUUUCUAAACAAGCCAUAUCUAACUUGGUUUUAAGUAUGACUUCUGUGACUUUUUUGAUUCAAGUUCCAAAAUUUCUUCUCAGUCUCUGAAAGUUAAAGUUGUCGUACCCCAGUGUGGAGCUCUGUCAUUUGGAGCUCUGUCCUUAUUAGUAGUACCUAUUGGAUACAGACCUUUCCACAUCAUCUUUCCAUAUUGUUCUUAGAGAAAAUACUACCCACGAGAUGAACCAGCUCUUAGGUUAACAACUAUUUACUUGAUGCAGGAAGGAAAAGACGGCAGAAUGAUCAUAGGGCCACAGUGGACAAAGGGAGUCAGAAUGACGUCGUAAUGAGGAUGAGUCCAGUCCUGGAAACCAUAAGUUAUUUUCUUUUUCUUUCCUAUGUAGGCCACUUUGAGUUUGCCAUGCGCCAUCAUGUUAGAUAGACAUUUCUGAGACUCGAGAGCAUCUGGGUUGCUGAUUGUUUUUUAACAUACACUACACAUAUACACAGAUGAAUCCGUGAUCUUUCUGUCCCCUCUCCCUUUCCCUUUUCUCCAACCCACCUCCAUCUCAUGUAGCCCAAGCUUGCCUAAACUUGCUAUGAGUCCAGAGAUGACUUUGAAAUCCUGAUUCUCUGGCUUCCACCUCUUGCUUCUAUUUCUGGUUUUUAAAAACAUGUCUUUUUUUUUUUUUUUUUUAAGAUUUAUUUAAUUAAUUAUUUAUUUAUUUUAUGUGAGUACACUGUCACUGACUUCAGACACACCAGAAGAGGACAUCAGAUCCCAUUACAGAUGGUUGUGAGCCACCAUGUGGUUGCUGGGAAUUGAACUCAGAAAUUCUGGAGGAGCAGUCAGUGCUCUUAACUGCUGAGCCAUCUCUCCAGCCCCUAAAAGCACGUCUUGAAUUGAGGCAAAGUCUCAUGACCCAGAAAGAGAGUGAGAAUAUAGUCUGGGGGCUAGGCUAAGAAACCCAUAGCCAUAUAAUUUUUUUUCAGAAAUGAACUUCCUUCUCUUAUAAGAUAGAAAACAAUUAAGAAUAUUUACUUCUGUGUACAAUGCUAUAGGAUCUUAGCCAUUUUUUAUAGACUAGAAACUAAAUCUUAUAAGUUAUUUCCUUUUUUACAUACUGGCCACUUGGAGACUGCUGGGUAGUCUAGCUAGAAUUUAUCAGUAUCCUGAAGACAUUAAAAAAAUAUUGACCAGAAGUCAAACUGAAAGAUAAACUUU